GGGUUGUGAGGUUAAGCGACUAAGCGUACACGGUGGAUGCCCUGGCAGUCAGAGGCGAUGAAGGACGUGCUAAUCUGCGAUAAGCGUCGGUAAGGUGAUAUGAACCGUUAUAACCGGCGAUUUCCGAAUGGGGAAACCCAGUGUGUUUCGACACACUAUCAUUAACUGAAUCCAUAGGUUAAUGAGGCGAACCGGGGGAACUGAAACAUCUAAGUACCCCGAGGAAAAGAAAUCAACCGAGAUUCCCCCAGUAGCGGCGAGCGAACGGGGAGGAGCCCAGAGCCUGAAUC
rnacentral:rRNA from 1 species